rnacentral:rRNA from 1 species
AUUAGAGUUUGAUUAUGGCUCAGAAUCAACGCUGGCGGCGUGCCUAACACAUGCAAGUCGAACGCGAAAGGGGCUUCGGUCCUGAGUAGAGUGGCGGACGGGUGAGUAACACGUGGAUGACCUGCCCUCGAGUGGGGGAUAACUCUUCGAAAGGGGAGCUAAGACCGCAUGAGCUCCCGGGGGCGACUCUGGGAGGAAAGCCUUAGGGUGCUGGAGGAGGGGUCCGCGACCGAUUAGCUGGUUGGUGGGGUAAGGGCCUACCAAGGCGACGAUCGGUAGCCGGUCUGAGAGGACGGACGGCCACACUGGAACUGAGAGACGGUCCAGACUCCUACGGGGGGCAGCAGUGGGGAAUUUUGCGCAAUGGGCGCAAGCCUGACGCAGCAACGCCGCGUGGAGGAUGAAGGUUUUCGGAUUGUAAACUCCUGUCCCGGGGGAAGAAGGCAGUGACGGUACCCUGGGAGGAAGCCCCGGCUAACUCCGUGCCAGCAGCCGCGGUAAUACGGGGGGGGCGAGCGUUGUUCGGAAUAACUGGGCGUAAAGGGCGCGUAGGCGGCCUGGGCAGUCCUGGGUGAAAGCCCCCGGCUCAACCGGGGAAGGGCCUGGGAAACCACUGGGCUGGAGUGCUGGAGAGGGAGGCGGAAUUCCUGGUGUAGCGGUGAAAUGCGUAGAGAUCAGGAGGAACAUCGGCGGCGAAGGCGGCCUUCUGGACAGACACUGACGCUGAGGCGCGAAAGCCGGGGGAGCAAACAGGAUUAGAUACCCUGGUAGUCCCGGCUGUAAACGAUGGUGACUUGGUGUGGGGGGUGACAAAGUCCCUCCGUGCCGGCGACAACUCGUUAAGUCACCCGCCUGGGGAGUACGGCCGCAAGGCUGAAACUCAAAGGAAUUGACGGGGGCCCGCACAAGCGGUGGAGUAUGUGGUUUAAUUCGACGCAACGCGAAGAACCUUACCGGGGUUGGAACUGCACUCGCAGGUUUCGGAGACGGGACGGUCCCUUCGGGGACGGGUGCGGAGGUGCUGCAUGGCUGUCGUCAGCUCGUGUCGUGAGAUGUUGGGUUAAGUCCCGCAACGAGCGCAACCCUUGUCCCCAGUUGCCAGCAGGUAAAGCUGGGCACCCUGGGGAGACUGUCGGCGAAAAGCCGGAGGAAGGUGGGGAUGACGUCAAGUCCUCAUGGCCUUUAUGCCCCGGGCUACACACGUACUACAAUGGGAGGUACAAAGGGCGGCCAGCCCGCGAGGGGGCGCGAAUCCCAAAAAACCUCCCUCAGUUCGGAUUGCAGUCUGCAACUCGACUGCAUGAAGGUGGAAUCGCUAGUAAUCGCAGAUCAGCAGGCUGCGGUGAAUACGUUCCCGGGCCUUGUACACACCGCCCGUCACAUCACGAAAGUGGGCUGUACUAGAAGUCGCCGGGCCAACCCUUCGGGGAGGCAGGCGCCGACGGUAUGGUUCAUGAUUGGGGUGAAGUCGUAACAAGGUAGCUGUAGGAGAACCUGUGGCUGGAUCACCUCCUUUAUGAAU